UACGUAGGGUGCAAGCGUUGUCCGGAAUUAUUGGGCGUAAAGAGCUCGUAGGCGGUCUGUCGCGUCGGCUGUGAAAACUCGGGGCUCAACCCCGAGCCUGCAGUCGAUACGGGCAGACUAGAGUGCUGUAGGGGAGACUGGAAUUCCUGGUGUAGCGGUGAAAUGCGCAGAUAUCAGGAGGAACACCGGUGGCGAAGGCGACUCUUUGGUCUGUAACUGACGCUGAGGCGCGAAAGCGUGGGGAGCAAACAGG
rnacentral:rRNA from 1 species